UCAUAAUUCUCGAAUGGCACAUCCUCGAUCAUAUACAACUGAAGUCGUUGACAACGAUGAUUUGGUGUGAAUUUUUCAUCGCAAUAGUAGCACAAACCUUUUUGUCUCCGUUCAUGGGCUUCUUGACCAGUUAACUUUGUGAAGGUGGGUGGCGAGAUAUUUGGAUUGUCGAUUGUUGGUUAGGUAUUUGAUGUGGUGGGUGGAGGGCCUAACAUUCCCGACAUGAAAUUGGUUGUGACUCUCGAGCUUGUCGGUGUAGUUUGUGAGCAAAUGGGUUGCGAAAAUUUUUGUUGCAGCAUAUUUCUUUCCUCCGCGAGUCUUGCAACGCCUAUCGCAUCUACUAGAGAUUUCGGCUGUUUAAUUUUCACAUCAAGGCGAAUCUCAUCGGAAAGACCUGAAAUAAAACAACCAAUUAAAAAGUUUUCCGGAAGACCGUUCACUUGUUCGGAUAAUUUUUCGAAGGCCUCCUGAUACACAACCACUUUUGUAGUUUGUUUGAGACGCGUGAGAGCUUCAGAAGGAUUUUCAGAAUCGGUUGGACCAAAGCGGCUCAAAACAGCCUUGGAAAGCUCGUCCCACGAUAAGGGUCCUCGAAACUUUGUUAAACACCGAUGUCACUACAAGGCAAUCCCCUCAAGGUGCAUGAAGCGAGUUGAACCUGUUACGUUAAUAUUUUGGAAUUCAAAAUACUGCUAUGCCUUAUAUAUCCACCCCAUUGGAUCAUCACCACUAUACCUCGAAAAUUGUAGCUUGAGAUUUGUAUUUGGAAUAAGAGUUGGAGAUGUGCUUGUUGUAGCUACGGCUGUAUUUUGGUUGCAUGUUUGUGAAGAUUCUCCCACAGCAAAGGGGUUAACAUUAUUGUCGGGAGAUUUAGGUUGGUUGGAUGAAUUCCUUAGAGCUUGAAGCUCGGUGAGGACAAUAUGGAGAGUAUUGUGUAAUUGGUCGAAAUUUGACUUGUAUCGAGCUAGGAUAUCGAAAACAUCGGUGCGAAACUCGGCAUUGGAUUUAUUUCGAUGGAACGUGGCUCUGAUACCACUUGAUAGGGUAUAAUUUGUCAAGAGAGAAUAAUAGAAGAAAGAAGAGAAGUUGAAUAAGCUAAGAAGACUAAGUAAAUAAUUAUGUUCUCGUAUAUCCCCCUAUCGUCUACUGUAGCUAUAUAUAUACAUAGCCUUACAAUAAAUAUAGUAACUGUCAAGAUAAACAAUAAACUGAUAAAUAGGAAAUAUUAUCAACUACUUAAGCUACUACUUAUCUACCACUAAUGAUAUACUAAGUCAAAACACUAUCCC
rnacentral:lncRNA from 1 species